GGUUGUGGCUCAGUGAUAGAGUACUUGCCUAGCAUGCAUGAGGCACUGGGUUCAAUCCCUGGCACCA
rnacentral:tRNA from 1 species